rnacentral:tRNA from 1 species
GUGAGUAUAGCUCAGUGGCAGAGCAUGUGCUUAGCAUCCACAAAGUCCUGGGUUCAAUCCCCAGUACCUGCA